GUAGAUUCUUAUCCAAGACUUGUAUCAUUUGAUGAUGCCAUGUGAAUCGCUAGAAACAUGUAAAGUAUAUGGCUAACCCAAUAACGAAAGUUUCGUAAGGGGACUGGAGCAGGCUACCGUGAGACAAAAGAUCUUCUUUCUAAAGAGAUUCGAUUCGGAACUAUUAUAUGUCCAAGGUCCAAUAUUGGAAUAAUUUCAGAGGUUUUCCUUGACUUUGUCCGUGUCAACAAACAAUUCGAAAUGCCUCGACUUUUUUAGAACAGGUCCAAGUCAAAUAGCAAUGAUUUGAAGCACUUCUUUUUACACUAUUUUGGAAACCCGAGGACUCAAUCGUAUGGAUAUGUAAAAUACAGGAUUUCCAAUCCUAGCAGGAAAGGGAGGGGAACAGAUACUCAAUUUAAAGUGAGUAAACAGAAUUCCAUACUCGAUCUCAUAGAUACAUAUAGAAUUCUGUAGAAAGCCGUAUUCGGUCUGUUGCGGGUCGAGGACUUCUUCUCCUUCCCCUUCUUCAAACUCCGAUUCAUAUUUUUCAUAGAGAAAUCUCUGAUCAAGGAUAGAAUAAGAUCCAUUUUGCAUCAUAUCUAAGGGACUUCUUGGUUCGGGCCGAAGAAGUAAUGUCACUUGAUCAUUAUGAAACUGACUGCAAUCUUUUUCUGUCCGUGAGGAUCCCACCAGAGCGCUUUCUACUUCUAAUAGGCCAUGAACUAGAUCAGAAUCAUUCUCAAUAAGUCCAUAAUAAGUGAUCCCAUUUUUUUCAUCGGGUCCAGGUUGAGACCAAAGGUCUUGAGCAACUGAUCCGGCAGAACAACUCAAAAGAUAAAGAAGUAUCGUUAAUUUCUUCAUGCUCAUUCCAAGUUCGAAGUACCAUUUGUACAAAUAAGAAUCUUAUGUACCCAUAGGUACUAUAUUGGAUUUGAAUCAGAUUUAGGAUCAAUCCAUAUUGAUUGAUUGCCUUUAUUAUGUUGUUGUUAGCAAAUACCACUAUUUUUUGUUUUGGAUCUUCAAAAUCAUUCCCGCAGGAGAUCCGGACCCAUUUUUUUCUGAUCAUUCGAUAAAAAGAUUCAUUCUCUUCAUAAAAGAUAGGAGGUAGAACCAAUAAAGAUUUCUUUUUCGAUUCAUCCCUAGAGUUGAAUACCUCAUUCAAGAAUUGUUUUUGAUCCAAUCCGUAGGAAUCAAUGAAAAAGGUAAAUCCUUUAUGAUAUACCAGAUCCGGCUCGGUUAUUGAUAGAGUGAAUAGAUCCGCCAUUUCUUAAAAUCUCUCUUCUGAUUCAAAAUCACGGUGUAACGUGUAUCCCCCCCGUUCCGAUCAUGGAAUGGAUGAAAUAAAUUAAAAAAUGGAUUUUUGUUCACGAAAGAAAUCUUAUUGGAACUGUCCAUAUCCAGUUCAUCCUUCAGAACCAUAUCACAUCCCGGAUCUUAUUGGAACUGUCCAUAUCCAGUUCAUCCUUUGAUUUCUUCCGGAAGCAGAUGAUUAUUCAUCUCCUUCUCACCUUCUGUGAAUAGCCGGGACAUUGAGGAAUAUCCAGAAAGGCAUUUAGGGAAUCGGUCUGAUUCUAUCUCUGUUCGUUCCGUUUGAAGAAAGGAAGGAUCCCAAAGAAUCGAUCUUUCUUUUAGUUGUUGAAUCUUUCUUUGAUUGAUCAAUGUGUGAUAUUCUGAAUCCUCAUUACUAAUGGAAUCGAAAUGAUCUCUGGAUUGAUUAGAAGAUCCCUUCAAUUGGCUAGAAUUCCUUCCUUGAACGAAACUAGAUCUUGUAGAAUCAUAUUGAAUAUUUGACGACAUAUUCCGUGCCUUACUUAAAAACCGAUCCUUGUUUACCAACCACACAUUGUUUAACCAAAUCCAAUUCUCUCUCGAUAUGUUCCUAAAAAAAUCUGAUUCGUGCGAAUUAUUCUCCCAACUAACGAAGAGAUCUUGGCGGAAUUGCCACAUAUGAAAUUGAGCAUAAUUUUACAAAGAAAUAGCCCAUUUCUUUCUCGAGAAGAGAUGGGAAACAUGCUCAAUAUCAUUUGAUUGAAUAGUUGACCGAGCUCCUUGUUGUUUGAAAAAACCCUCCACUUCAAUUGAUAUUUUUUCACGAAAAGCAAACAUGAGAUAACAAAUCUAGUCUUUUACUAAGAUUUCGAAUAGCUGUCCCGAAUUCAAGUUGAUUAUGUUUCGCCCCUUCCUCGAAUAAAGAUGAUCAAACAAUUCCCAAUCAUGGUCCUUGCAGAUCAGAUCAUCCAUAUAAUAUACAAAAAGAAACUCCAGAUAUUUGAUAUCUUUUUCUUUGAAUGAGAUCUCAAUUCCAGCGACGGUUUCAUUAGAUAUCUUACAACUAGAAUCCCUCUUUUUUCCAAUCCAGUUCCUCCACCACCGCGAACCCCAGUUAGAUUCAGACAUGAUACACUUUUUAGUUAUUGGGAGAACCCAAGUACUCUCUUUCGGAUCCAGGAAAGAGCUCUUAGAGAUAUUUUUUCCUUUUGGAAGAUACAGGAGCAAAACAAUCAACCUAUUGAUAUUG
rnacentral:lncRNA from 1 species